GUGCUCGUUUCAGCAGCAAAUAUACCAAAAUUGAAACAAUACGGAGAUUAGCAUAGUCCCUGUGCAAAGAUGACAUGCAAUUCGUGAAAUAUUAUAUU
rnacentral:snRNA from 1 species